rnacentral:ncRNA from 1 species
UAUAGUAGAGGUUGCGGUAUUUAUCAGUACUCUGUGGGAUGACUCAGAUCAGCGGAACAUGGAGGAAAGGGGAUAUUGCCGAAGGAAAACAGAUGUCUGAGCUUUGGAUUCCUGGGUGUGCAGUGAAUAACUGUAUGACUGUCAUCGCAAGAUGGAGUGCUACUGA